CGUACCGAGAACCGACACAGGUGUCCAUGGCGGCGAAAGCCAAGGCCUGUCGGGAGCAACCAACGUUAGGGAAUUCGGCAAGUUAGUCCCGUACCUUCGGAAGAAGGGAUGCCUGCUCCGGAACGGAGCAGGUCGCAGUGACUCGGAAGCUCGGACUGUCUAGUAACAACAUAGGUGACCGCAAAUCCGCAAGGACUCGUACGGUCACUGAAUCCUGCCCAGUGCAGGUAUCUGAACACCUCGUACAAGAGGACGAAGGACCUGUCAACGGCGGGGGUAACUAUGACCCUCUUAAGGUAGCGUAGUACCUUGCCGCAUCAGUAGCGGCUUGCAUGAAUGGAUUAACCAGAGCUUCACUGUCCCAACGUUGGGCCCGGUGAACUGUACAUUCCAGUGCGGAGUCUGGAGACACCCAGGGGGAAGCGAAGACCCUAUGGAGCUUUACUGCAGGCUGUCGCUGAGACGUGGUCGCCGAUGUGCAGCAUAGGUAGGAGUCGUUACAGAGGUACCCGCGCUAGCGGGCCACCCAGACAACAGUGAAAUACUACCCGUCGGUGACUGCGACUCUCACUCCGGGAGGAGGACACCGAUAGCCGGGCAGUUUGACUGGGGCGGUACGCGCUCGAAAAGAUAUCGAGCGCGCCCUAUGGCUAUCUCAGCCGGGACAGAGACCCGGCGAAGAGUGCAAGAGCAAAAGAUAGCUUGACAGUGUUCUUCCCAACGAGGAACGCUGACGCGAAAGCGUGGUCUAGCGAACCAAUUAGCCUGCUUGAUGCGGGCAAUUGAUGACAGAAAAGCUACCCUAGGGAUAACAGAGUCGUCACUCGCAAGAGCACAUAUCGACCGAGUGGCUUGCUACCUCGAUGUCGGUUCCCUCCAUCCUGCCCGUGCAGAAGCGGGCAAGGGUGAGGUUGUUCGCCUAUUAAAGGAGGUCGUGAGCUGGGUUUAGACCGUCGUGAGACAGGUCGGCUGCUAUCUACUGGGUGUGUACUGGUGUCUGACAAGAACGACCGUAUAGUACGAGAGGAACUACGGUUGGUGGCCACUGGUGUACCGGUUGUUCGAGAGAGCACGUGCCGGGUAGCCACGCCACACGGGGUAAGAGCUGAACGCAUCUAAGCUCGAAACCCACUUGGAAAAGAGACACCGCUGAGGUCCCGCGUACAAGACGCGGUCGAUAGACUCGGGGUGUGCGCGUCGAGGUAACGAGACGUUAAGCCCACGAGCACUAA
rnacentral:rRNA from 1 species